GGCUUCUUUUGCCAGACUUGGAGGAGUAGCUGGGAGAGCGGGAGUAGGACCUGGGAAAGAGCCUAAUCUGCAAUCCUACUGAUGUUAUAAUGCUAUGACGUUGAAUAGUGUUGUCAGCUACAUUGCUUCAUUUUCUGGAAUGGACAGUCUUGAAAUAACCAAUUAAAACUAUGAGUGGACUGAUCCCAUUUCCCCAUCUCAACCCUAUGGGACACUUGUCAAUGAAGGAAAGAACCAGGAGACCAGAGCCAUCAAAAUAUAUCAGGAUUCAAGAGUUAUUACAACCCUUCCAUUCUGGAUCAGAGAUGCCAAUUUCAUAAGGCUUGAACUCAGGACCUUGAGUUUGUGAGGCAGGUGGCGGAAACACUGAGCUACAUCCCCAACCCUUUCCUACACCUUCUCGUGGUGAAAUGUUCCUUGGAGCUGGAAAAUCGUGGCCUACUGCGAAGUCCAGCACUGAUUUUGGAGAGGAUUAAGCUACUCAAGGUCAGAGAUCGCUUCUGGGCUUAUUUGGACUCACAGCCAUCAGGAGAACCUCUUUGAUGGACCUCUUUGAUGGCGUUAGGUGACAAGAGGAUCCCAAAAGCCAAGGCAGACCCUGACCCUUCACAGAUGCUGACAGACUUGAAGGAAUGUCUGACAGCUAACCAGAGGGCUUGGAAAAUGUGUGUCAGUGGGGAUAAUAAGAUGGAGGGCUGCUCCUUCUGAAUGCACAGUAGCAACUUGGUGUCAAGUGAUGGCUGCCUGUGGGAAAUGGCCCAUGAAGACAGAACUUCCUGUACAGAGGAACUGUGACACGGGAUUUUCACACUGCAAAAUCUCCGAUUACAGAGUGUUGGCUUGGCCUGUGAACCAUGAAUUGGAGCCCUCUAGUGUCUAUCCUUCUAUCUCCCCACCUCCAGACACACAUGCACAUGUGGUAUAGUGGACACUCUCUUCCAGGUCAUAACGCCCUGCUCCCCACCCAAAGAGGUGAACCAUGCAGCAGCCGUGUUUCCAACAUUGUCCCACCCGCUGUGAAGCAGAUGGACCCCCCAGAGGCCUUUUCUUGGGAAUUUGGAAUAAAAAAAAGAUGGGGAGUUCAAGGUCUGCUUGUGACUUAACCUUCAACAGAGAGAUGGAACAGGGAGCAGCCUUGCCCCCUUCCCAUGGACCAGGAAGCAGAGGAAACUCGGAUCUGCUUGACUUCUGUUAGCUCUCCACUCCAUGGUCCCAGCCCCUUACUCAGGCCUGCCUGGUCCCUGAGAUGCUCCUGCUUUCUUCUAAUCAAGUCUCUUCAGGCCCCAGUUAGCUCUAGCUACUCUGGUCCUCCCAAAUACAGCUCUGACUUCGGUAUGAUACAAAUAAAAACAAAACAUAGAUAUAACGUAUCUGCUACAAUAAAUGACACGAAAUGCUUCCAAAUGACCUUUUGAUGCCUCAACCUCUAUCCAGCCUGGGACAGCUCUGUCUACAGAAGGG